UCCUACGGGAGGCAGCAGUGGGGAAUAUUGGACAAUGGGGGGAACCCUGAUCCAGCCAUGCCGCGUGUGUGAAGAAGGCCCUCGGGUUGUAAAGCACUUUCAGCGAGGAAGAACGCCUAGCGGUUAAUACCCGCUAGGAAAGACAUCACUCGCAGAAGAAGCACCGGCUAACUCCGUGCCAGCAGCCGCGGUAAUACGGAGGGUGCAAGCGUUAAUCGGAAUUACUGGGCGUAAAGCGCGCGUAGGUGGCUUGAUAAGCCGGUUGUGAAAGCCCCGGGCUCAACCUGGGGACGGCAUCCGGAACUGUCAAGCUAGAGUGCAGGAGAGGAAGGUAGAAUUCCCGGUGUAGCGGUGAAAUGCGUAGAGAUCGGGAGGAAUACCAGUGGCGAAGGCGGCCUUCUGGACUGACACUGACACUGAGGUGCGAAAGCGUGGGUAGCAAACAGGAUUAGAUACCCUGGUAGUCCACGCCGUAAACGAUGUCGACCAGCCGUUGGGUGCCUAGCGCACUUUGUGGCGAAGUUAACGCGAUAAGUCGACCGCCUGGGGAGUACGGCCGCAAGGUUAAAACUCAAAUGAAUUGACGG
rnacentral:rRNA from 1 species